CCUGUCCUGUACAACAUCUUGUCAGACAAGUUUAAGCGGGCUUUUAGAAAUCUGUUGAACUGCUGCCCACGAAGAGAGUCCGUGCCUAGCACCAACUACUCCGGGAUAGCCACGGACAUCUGGGUCACCCGGAAAAAGAGAGUCAGCCUGCAGCAGUCCACCCUCAACUCCCAGCAGCUCAUCAAGCAGCAGCACAGGCUCUUCCAGAGAAGCAGCGGGAAGAGAAACGGGUAUGAAAAUGGUAGCGUCAAUCCCAUCCACUGCGGCUCUGGCGUUGGGAGCGGCGCGAACGGGGUAUCCAGCAGCCACGAGAUCAGCAUCAGCCCCAUGCUGCAUCGGAUCCAGAGCAUUAGGAGCGUGGAGACCGCAGAAGAGGCGGUGUGAGCCCAUGCUUUAGCCUCGUGAGGCGGACUACAGUAUUGAAACACAGGGAAACAUUCUCAGCUGGUUGAGUUAAGACUACAGCUACAGCCGGCAUGAGGAUUUAAUUGCAGCUUGUCUACUUACAGCUGCAGCCUGCUGAAAGAGCAUCUACAACCUAUGUAAAUAGUUUGCGCCUUUUGACAGUUUUUUUAUAACAAAAUAUUUGGACAAGCUCAAAGAAAAACCAAACAAUUCAUGGUUUCUUGGAUUACUCCUAUUGAAUGAAUCCAUCUUCAUCUUAUGUCUAUAAGGAUAAUGUCAUUUCGUGAAUUGAAGCCUUGUGUAAAUAGUAACCAGACUUAGUUAUUCUUAUUACAUGGUGAAGACCUCUUCUUUUGGAAGCCUAAGUUAGAACAGGUCAAAGAAAAAAAUCCGGUGCCUAGUAAAAGCUUAUCCGCACAGCGAUUGACAUCAGACCGAAGAAGUGGAGCCCCAGCUCACCGCAGGUCAUCAAACAGCUGCAAGAAACUACCGGAAACGGAAGCUGACACAUGAACGGGAAUGCCACUCCAAUUAUCUGCUUCCGAGAGCGGGGCCUAUACAACAUCUAUAAGGUCAGAAUUCUUGGCAUGACUAACAGUAGAUGCUGCACCAUCAGCACAGCCAAGAAGUCAUUAACCCCAGGCUGUUGAUUACACAGAAUAUUGAGGCUGUAGCAACAGCGGUAGUGGUGAUGAUGUCAGGAAACGCUGUGAUAUUAUACUCGAAGAUGGACUAUAUUAUGUCGACGCAAGGAUACAACUAGAACCUGUGUAAACAGUCUCAAAAUGCGCAGGAAAACAAAAGGCUACCAAACAUGAAACUAUUCGAAUUGUUCAGUUAUUGGUAUUUCAGCAUCUUCUCUUUAUACAGAGAAAUAAUUCGUUUGGUAUAGCCUUGAAUUAUUAAAAUCUUCAAAGUUAUAAUUUUAUUUCUUUGCCACUUCGUAAAGACAUGUUCCUUGUAGACCUGCGUUCAAAAUAUAGGUCACUUUGGACUAAAACAUGGUCACGUGUUUUGGCGGCAAGAGACGAUUGGUUAGGACGAUGAGACUGCACUUUUUACCAAAACAAAUCUGAUCGUCUGUUUAUCGCUGUACUUUUCCCACGCAAUAAUUUUGUUCUCAGAACUGUCGGAUUUCAUAAUACAUGUACACAUUGUGUUUGUAGUUGUCAUUUUGUCUGUGCGUGCGUGUGUGUUGUCCAUCAUUGGACCUUUUCACGUGCGUCCUAGGCUCUCCGCUCUUCCCAGUCAGAUGUCAUUAGCAUGUACGUGACAAGAGACUGACCACGUGAUUUCUUCUGCCUAUUUUUAGGUAUACUUCUUGAAGGAUGAAUUUUGGUGAAUAAACCGGAAGGAUAAGCUUUGUUGAUAACCGGAAGGAUAAGCUUUGUUGAUAAACCGGAAGGAUAUGCUUAGGGGAUAAACUGGAAGGAUAAGCUUUGUGGAUAAACCAGAAGGAUAAGCUUUGUGGAUAAACCGGAAGGAUAAGCUUUGUUCAUAAACCGGAAGGAUAAGCUUUGUUGAUAAACCGGAAGGAUAUGCUUGGGGGAUAAACCGGAAGGAUAAGCUUUGUGGAUAAACCGGAAGGAUAAGCUUUGUUGAUAAACAGGAAGGAUAAGCUUUGGGGAUAAACCGGAAGGAUAAGCUUUGUGGAUAAACCAGAAGGAUAAGCUUUGUGGAUAAACCGGAAGGAUAAGCUUUGUUGAUAAACCGGAAGGAUAUGCUUGGGGGAUAAACCGGAAGGAUAAGCUUUGUGGGUAAACCAGAAGGAUAAGCUUUGUGGAUAAACCGGAAGGAUACGCUUUGUGGAUAAACCGGAAGGAUAUGCUUGGUGGAUAAACCGGAAGGAUAAGCUUUGUGGAUAAACCGGAAGGAUAGCUUGGAGGAUAAAUCGGAAGGAUAUGCUUGGUGGAUAAACCAGAAGAAUAAGCUUUGUUGAUAAACCGGAAGGAUAUGCUUGGGGGAUAAACCGGAAGGAUAAGCUUUGUGGAUAAACCAGAAGGAUAAGCUUUGUGGAUAAACCGGAAGGAUACGCUUUGUGGAUAAACCGGAAGGAUAUGCUUGGUGGAUAAACCGGAAGGAUAAGCUUUGUGGAUAAACCGGAAGGAUAGCUUGGAGGAUUAAUCGGAAGGAUAUGCUUGGUGGAUAAACCGGAAGAAUAAGCUUUGUUGAUAAACCGGAAGAGUAUGCUUGGGGGAUAAACCGGAAGGAUAAGCUUUGUGGAUAAACCAGAAGGAUAUGCUUGGGGGAUAAACCGGAAGGAUACGCUUUGUGGAUAAACCGGAAGGAUAUGCUUGGUGGAUAAACCGGAAGGAUAAGCUUUGUGGAUAAACCGGAAGGAUAGCUUGGAGGAUAAACCGGAAGGAUAAGCUUUGUGGAUAAACCGGAAGGAUAUGCUUGGUUGAUAAACCGGAAGGAUAAGCUUUGUGGAUAAACCGGAAGGAUAAGCUUUGUGGAUAAACCGGAAGAAUAAGCUUGGAGGAUAAACGUGAGGAUAAACUUAUCCAAAAAUAAAGUCUUGCAGUAUGCUUCUUUAUCAUGGCUGGUCGUGUGGUAUGCGAUUUUGACUGUCAUCUUGACGAUUUCGGGUUCCAACACUUCCAGCGACCAACGCCUUUCGUUCUGCGAGAGGUUUGGGAGGGGGAGGUCUUAAUCUUCCGCUCUGACGGAACAUUCGACGCAUGUCAAACCAACAAAUCCUUCCAGAUUUCAAUAUUUGGUGGCACUUCAGUUCUGUUAGUUCUACAAAGUUAAUUUACAGCAUGGCAUCACCCUAAAGCCCCACUUCCGGCUUCUACGUUUGGGACCAUUUUAUCAAAGAUUUUAAAUAAGUUUUAAUUUCGGGAUCCUUAGGGGAACCACUGAGUCGACCCAGCUCUAACGGCUACCUGAAAUGAGUUGGGGGGAAAAGUAAAGGGAGUCGGUCGUUGUGCUGGCCACAUGACACCCUCGUUAACCGAAGGCCAUAUAAACAGAUGACCUUUACAUCAUCUGCCCCGUAGAUCACUGGGGUCUCAAAGGAGAACUUUCCUUUACUUCCACUAUGAAGAAUGACUCAAAACAAAAUAUUUGUUUAUCCCUACCAACAAAAUGUGUAAAUGUGUAAAUGUGUAAACAUUUGUUAUUGUGUACGUUGCCAUAUUCUGUACAUUUGGCUCAGCCAUAUUCUGUACAUUUUGCUCAGCCAUAUUCUGUACAUUUUGCUCAGCCAUAUUCUGUACAUUUUGCUCAGCCAUAUUUUGUAUAUUUUGCUCACCCAUAUUCAGUACAUUUUGCUCAGCCAUAUUCAGUACAUUUUGCUCAGCCAUAUUCAGUACAUUUUGCUCAGCCAUAUUCUGUACAUUUUGCUCAGCCAUAUUUUGUAUAUUUUGCUCAGCCAUAUUCAGUACAUUUUGCUCGAUCAGGUCUUGGUCAUUAAAAUACUUGCCCAAAUAAACUGUUUGACCCAAUGUGAUUAAUACAUGUCAAUAAUGUCAAUAAUAAAUGAGAUGGUCGCCUCGUCGUGUGAAAUGCAUUCCGGACUAUCAUUACAAUUGUCUUGGGUUCUCGCGCAAUAAUCUUUAUUGAAUUAUCAUACAUCUAUUGAUAGACAUCCGCUUAAGGGGCCCUUACAGGAUGAAUAAUCAUCCAUCACUUACAUUUUUUAAAAGUACCACCUAAGUGGUCCCCGAAGUGCUGUCAUUUUGUUUGUUACCUCGGCCUACACAGAUUUCUGUCUGGCCUUAUGUACAGUGAACUAACCCUGUGGUUUUAAGUUCUACAAAAUGUU